UACAGAGGGUGCAAGCGUUAAUCGGAUUUACUGGGCGUAAAGCGUGCGUAGGCGGUUCGCUAAGUCGGUUGUGAAAUCCCUGGGCUUAACCUGGGAACUGCAGUCGAUACUGGCGGACUAGAGUACGGUAGAGGGUGGCGGAACUCCGGGUGUAGCGGUGAAAUGCGUAGAUAUCCGGAAGAACACCGAUGGCGAAGGCAGCCACCUGGGCCUGUACUGACGCUGAGGUACGAAAGCGUGGGGAGCAAACGGG
rnacentral:rRNA from 1 species